rnacentral:rRNA from 1 species
AACGAACGCUGGCGGCAUGCCUAACACAUGCAAGUCGAACGAAGGCUUCGGCCUUAGUGGCGCACGGGUGCGUAACGCGUGGGAAUCUGCCCUUGGGUUCGGAAUAACUCAGAGAAAUUUGAGCUAAUGCCGGAUGAUGACGUAAGUCCAAAGAUUUAUCGCCCAAGGAUGAGCCCGCGUAAGAUUAGCUAGUUGGUGGGGUAAAGGCCUACCAAGGCGACGAUCUUUAGCUGGUCUGAGAGGAUGAUCAGCCACACUGGGACUGAGACACGGCCCAGACUCCUACGGGAGGCAGCAGUGGGGAAUAUUGGACAAUGGGGGCAACCCUGAUCCAGCCAUUCCGCGUGAGUGAAGAAGGCCUCGGUU